rnacentral:rRNA from 1 species
AUUGAACGCUAGCGGGAGGCUUUACACAUGCCAGUCGAACGAGUGGCGGACGGGUGAGUAAUGUAUGGGAAAGUGCCCAGUGGCGGGGGAUCACUACUCGAAAGGGUGGCUAAUACCGCAUACCAUCUGAUGGGCCGAGAUGUGAUUAGCUGGUUGGGGGGGUAACGGCGCACCAAGGCAACGAUCCGUAGCUGGUUUGAGAGGACGACAAGCCACACUGGAACUGAGACACGGCCCAGACUCCUACGGGAGGCAGCAGUGGGGAAUUGUGCACAAUGGGGGAAACCCUGAUCCAGCCAUCCCGCGUGUAUGAGAAGGCCGUCGGGUUGGAAAGUACUUUUGGCAGAGAAGCGGUAUCUGCAGAAUAAGCACCGGCUAACUCCGUGCCAGCAGCCGCGGUAAUUC